rnacentral:rRNA from 1 species
GAUGAACGCUGGCGGCGUGCCUAAUACAUGCAAGUAGAACGCUGAAGCUUGGUGCUUGCACCGAGCGGAUGAGUUGCGAACGGGUGAGUAACGCGUAGGUAACCUGCCUCUUAGCGGGGGAUAACUAUUGGAAACGAUAGCUAAUACCGCAUAAAAGUCGAUAUCGCAUGAUAUUUAUUUGAAAUGUGCAAAUGCAUCACUAAGAGAUGGACCUGCGUUGUAUUAGCUAGUUGGUGAGGUAACGGCUCACCAAGGCGACGAUACAUAGCCGCCCUGAGAGGGUGGUCGGCCACACUGGGAGUGAGACACGGCCCAGACGCCUACGGGAGGCAGCAGUAGGGAAUCGUCGGCAAUGGGGGCAAACCUGACCGAGCAACGCCGCGUGAGUGAAGAAGGUUUUCGGAUCGUAAAGCUCUGUUGUAAGAGAAGAACGAGUGUGAGAGUGGAAAGUUCACAGUGUGACGGUAACUUACCAGAAAGGGACGGCUAACUACGUG